ACGGGGUGCAGCAGGCGCGAAAACUUUGCAAUGUGCGAAAGCACGACAAGGUUAAUCCGAGUGGUUUGUGCUAAACGAACCUUUUGUUAGUCCUAGAAACACUAACGAAUAAGGGGUGGGCAAGUUCUGGUGUCAGCCGCCGCGGUAAAACCAGCACCUCAAGUGGUCAGGAUGAUUAUUGGGCCUAAAGCAUCCGUAGCCGGCUCUGUAAGUUUUCGGUUAAAUCUGUACGCUUAACGUACAGGCUGCCGGGAAUACUGCAGAGCUAGGGAGUGGGAGAGGUAGACGGUACUCGGGAGGAAGGGGUAAAAUCCUUUGAUCUCUCGAUGACCACCUGUGGCGAAGGCGGUCUACCAGAACACGUCCGACGGUGAGGGAUGAAAGCUGGGGGAGCAAACCGGAUUAGAUACCCGGGUAGUCCCAGCUGUAAACUAUGCAAACUCAGUGAUGCAUUGACUUGUGGUCAAUGCAGUGCUGCAGGGAAGCCGUUAAGUUUGCCGCCUGGAAGUACGUACGCAAGUA
rnacentral:rRNA from 1 species